GACGAACGCUGGCGGCGUGCUUAACACAUGCAAGUCGAACGGAAAGGCCCUGCUUUUGUGGGGUGCUCGAGUGGCGAACGGGUGAGUAACACGUGAGUAACCUGCCCUUGACUUUGGGAUAACUUCAGGAAACUGGGGCUAAUACCGGAUAGGAGCUCCUGCUGCAUGGUGGGGGUUGGAAAGUUUCGGCGGUUGGGGAUGGACUCGCGGCUUAUCAGCUUGUUGGUGGGGUAGUGGCUUACCAAGGCUUUGACGGGUAGCCGGCCUGAGAGGGUGACCGGCCAAAUUGGGACUGAGAUACAGCCCAGACUCCUAAGGGAGGCAGCAGUGGGGAAUAUUGCACAAUGGGCGGAAGCCUGAUGCAGCAACGCCGCGGGCGGGAUGACGGCCUUCGGGUUGUAAACCGCUUUCGCCUGUGACGAAGCGUGAGUGAAGGUAAUGGGUAAAGAAGCACCGGCUAACUACGUG
rnacentral:rRNA from 1 species